AGUUAAAUGAUUGAGCAAUAAAGAGUAACGUGUUUAUCACAUUAUUUUCAUUAAAACAUAAUUAAAACUUUAUAUAUUGAGAAUGAUUUAGUAGAGUAAAGAAUUGGAAUAAUAAAUUGAAAUCAGCCUGUAUUGGAUAUUUUAUCAAUAUGUAAAGCUCACAUUGGCCCCUCUUCUCCUGAUUGCUGUGGCCCCUACACUACCCUGGAAUCUGAGCCCUGUUACGAUAGCCAAACAAACCAAGUAGGUCCACAUGAAGUCUGCCUCUAAAGAAGGAAAACUACCAUAUAGGUGAAAAAUUGUGAAAAAAACAAAAACCCAUUGCUUUUUUUUUUGGUUUACAACCACCAUAAUGGAGUUUAUAGGAGAACGUCAUCCAGAAUACUGAAAUUCUAUUUACCCCCUACAAUAAUAUUUCUUUAUUUCAGCAUUGAACAAAAUGAUUGAUACAAAUAAAACAAAGUUUCUUUUCAUUUUAUUAGUAUUUAUUUCCUUAAAAUAUAUCCAAAUGUACAAACAAUGCACUGAGUACAGAAAAAAAGAUAAUGACUAUAGAAAAAGAAAAACAAUUCAAAGUGUAGAACAGCUCCCUGCUCUCAAUGUGUUUGUUCCAGCGAUAUCUAAGCGUUUCUCUAUAAUGCACCCAUUCACAUUAUAUAUUGUGUGUUUUCUAUGACAGAAAUAGCUUUCUAUUAAUAUCCUAUAAGUAUACUUAAACCAGGAAUAAGGUUAAAAACAAAUUGAAGAAAAAUCCCUAACCUGAACUAUACACCAUCACUAGUGCUAAAACCGCAUUAACUCGAACCCAUCAUUAACCCUAUACCAAACGUCGCCUAACAUCCAGGAAGUCCCUCUAGUGGCUGUCUAAUAGACAGCCACUAGAGGUGGAGUUCACCGUCAAAGGUAAUCAUUGCAAUAUCUUAAAAGCUGCAAUAAUUACCUGCUCAGGGUUAAGGGACAUGGGACAUUGCACCAAGACCACUUAAAUUAGCUACAGUGUCUUUUUAAGUUUCUAGUUUCUUAUAGUACAGUGGGUUUCCCUCUAGUUCUGUGUUAAUUUUUUUCUCACUGCUGAUUAUUCUGAUAGUUAUAGUAUUUCAGCGCAUUCAGCCGAUGACAUUAGAAGAGGGAGGAGAGUCCCCAGCGCCGAGGGAGCACGGCGCUGGAAAAAAGGUAAGGGAUUAACCCCUUCCUCCCCCUUCAGCGCUUCGGAAGUGGGACCCUGAGGGUGGGGGGCACCCUCAGGGCACUAUAGUGGCAGGAAAACGAGUUU